rnacentral:rRNA from 1 species
CCUACGGGGGGCUGCAGUAAGGAAUCUUCCACAAUGGGGGCAACCCUGAUGGAGCAAUACCGCGUGCAGGAUGAAGCGUUUCGGCGUGUAAACUGCUUUUAUCACCGAAGAUUAUGACUGUAGGUGAAGAAUAAGGACCGGCUAACUACGUGCCAGCAGCCGCGGUAAUACGUAGGGUCCAAGCGUUAUCCGGAAUUACUGGGCGUAAAGCGUCUGUAGGCGGCUUUUCAAGUCAGGUGCGAAAUCUUGCGGCUCAACCGUAUAGACUGUGCUUGAAACUGAUUAGCUAGAGGUAGGUAGAGGCAAGUGGAAUUUCUGGUGUAGGAGUGACAUCCGUAGAUAUCAGAAGGAACACCAAUGGCGAAGGCAGCUUGCUGGGCCUUACCUGACACUCAGAGACGAAAGCGUGGGGAGCGAACGGGCUUAGAUACCCGGGUAGUC